rnacentral:piRNA from 1 species
AGGUGACUCAAAGACAUCUGUGCUGCCAU